UACAGAGGGGGCAAGCGUUGUUCGGAAUUACUGGGCGUAAAGGGCGCGUAGGCGGCCUUCUAAGUCAUGCGUGAAAUCCCCGGGCUCAACCCGGGAACUGCGUCUGAUACUGGAAGGCUUGAAUCCGGGAGAGGGAUGCGGAAUUCCAGGUGUAGCGGUGAAAUGCGUAGAUAUCUGGAGGAACACCGGUGGCGAAGGCGGCGAUCCUGGACCGGUAUUGACGCUGAGGCGCGAAAGCCAGGGGAGCAAAGCGGG
rnacentral:rRNA from 1 species